rnacentral:lncRNA from 1 species
UCGGAUGUCCCAUGUCGAGGGCCGAGUACAUCAUACGGUUGAUCCAUGCGCUGAUCCCGUUCCCGGAUCGGUUGAACCUAAUAAAAAAAAACAAAUUAUUAAUAAAAAAACAGUUUAAAUAAAAAAUAGUUAAAAAAAUAAAAGUUAAAUUACCAUGUUUGACCAUGUCCAUGUGGAUACUCAGUGAGAUAGGGAAGAUGGUCACGACCAGGCUGUCGAACCAACUC